rnacentral:tmRNA from 1 species
GGGGGUGAAAUGGGUUCGACUUAUGGAACGUGGAUAAAAGCAGCAUGCCGCGGACGCAUGGUUGGCCGCGUUAUCAAUCCGUGCAAAAUAUAAACGCAAAUACACCAGUGAUGGUAAACCGGUUAGCAGCGCCAGCAAUGGCAUUGCCGGUCGGUUUUGCGCCAGUCUCCUUUAAUUAAUUAAAGGAGCCUCUCUUUGGGCUGCCUGCGGCCUGAAAUGAGAGCGAAGCAGGAUAGCUUGGGGUUGUUUGUCUUUGGAGCCUCGAGCGAAACCAUAAAAGGCUGCGCUUCGAUGUAUCUUGUCUAUUGGAGCCUUCGGAGUUAAGCGUAAAAGAUAGACUAAGCAUGUAGGGGCUCUUAUUCGGUUACUUAAGGACAGCGGUUCGAUUCCGCUCACCUCCACCA